GAUUCUAAUUUGUCAUCUUCUGUUUCCAUAAGGUUUUGGGCCUCUCAGAAGGGGCAACAAAUGAAGAAAUACAUCGGAGUUACCAGGAGCUAGUGAAGGUCUGGCACCCAGACCACAACCUGGACCAGACAGAGGAGGCACAGAGGCACUUCCUGGAGAUCCAGGCUGCGUAUGAAGUCCUGAGUCAACCCAGGAAGCCCUGGGGAUCCCGGAGGUGAAAAGAAACUUCCCCCUGAGGACUGACUCUUCCUAGCAGAGCUGGGCAACUUGUCCCAAAUCUAGCUUUGCCCACGAAUGGCAUCCCAACAGAGUUAAAGAAACUGCUUGCAUGAGCCACCACACCUGGCCACUGUUCUCAAAUUGUAUUAUGGAGUUUUUUUUUUUUACAAAAUAUGGAUAUAUUUUAAUUUACUCAAAUGGGAACUACUGAUAAGCAGUUCUUAUUUUUCCAGCAUAAGCAAGGCUACAAUAAAUAUCUUUGAAUAUAUGU
rnacentral:lncRNA from 1 species